GGGAGGGGGCCAAUCCCACCCUGGCCCAGUGCCAUGAUGGAUUUGGGGUGCAGGAUCGCCGGCCGUGGCUUUUCACCCCCAGCUCAAUCUGAUUGGUCACUAUGGGGAUGGACACACGAUCCAAAGCUGUUUCACUAAGAGUUGAUCUCAGGAUGUCUGCUGAGAUUUAUGGAAGAGAAAACGCAGCUGGAGGCCGGGCCUUGGGGAGAACAAAGACUUUUCUCUCCUUCCAGUGCUUUCUCGGAGUACUGCCAGGAACGUCAAAGUCUCAGGUCUUGGGACAUGGGGCACUGAGUUUGGGAUGGAAAGAGCCGAUCUGCCUUGGAAAAUUGGAGGAAGGAAGUGUGCACGCUCCUGUGAGGCUGGGAGGGAGACGCCGGCCCCCAGGUUCAGACUGCAAAGGGGCGCCCCACAU